UUUCAAUGGACUAAUAAUGUAAAGUUCAUUUUGCAUUAGCAAUAGAUGUAAGGCAAAAACGGUCUCGAAAGAGAAUCACUUUUUGGUAGCCGUGUCCCUCUCGCACAUGUUGCCAACGUUCAUUACCUUCUAAAUUAAUAAUAUUAAUGGCAGUAUUAGUACAUAAAUAAAAAAUCUAUAUUAGACUACAGUAAUAAAAAAUAAAAUAAAAUAAUAUUGUCUGCUUAAAUCCUUAGAUCCUAUACUUUAUUAUGUUACAAAUUUAAUAAAUGGAAUUAUUAUAGCAGUCGUAUAGUAGAAGUUAUUGUAGUUUACGUUUCGGCAACACCGUGAACUGAAAAAAUGAAUGAAUUCUAUUGAACAAAAUGGCGUUUGUUUACAUUUGUGGUUUGAUGAUAAAGAAGGAUUGAAUAACUUUUAAGCUAGCUUUUUUUAUAUCGUAGAAGUUACUGCGUAAUUAUGGUGAAUACUUGUGUUGUAAGAGGAUGUAAGCAAGAAUCCUAUCCAGGUUGUGGAAAAUCCUUUCAUAGGAUUCCAGUUAAUAAAGAGUGGAGAGAGAGCCUUGUGGGUUGAUGCCAUGAACCUUGACACUAAUGUGACAAAAACUGCAUGUGUUUGUAGCUUACAUUUUACUGAUGAUGCGUAUUUAACAGUAGCUAAGAAUAAGUUAAAGCCACAAGCAGUUCCUUCAGUAUUGCCUAAGAUAGUUCCAGAAAGCAAAAAAUUUACAGUUCAAAAGUUGAAAGGAGGAUCUUUUGUACAUACUUCAUAUUCUAGUCAUAUCACAGUAGUAGGGACUUCUUAUGAACGAAGAGGACCUUCUAGUAAACGGGAUGAUGUAGAAAUUUCUGGUGAACCGCCCAAUAAAAAAAAAAGAAGAAUCAAGCAAUAAAUAUUAUAUAUUGGUUA
rnacentral:lncRNA from 1 species